UCCUGAGAGUUUGAUCCUGGCUCAGGACGAACGCUGGCGGCGUGCUUAACACAUGCAAGUCGAACGAUGAACCUGGAGCUUGCUCCAGGGGAUUAGUGGCGAACGGGUGAGUAACACGUGAGUAACCUGCCCUUGACUCUGGGAUAACCUCCGGAAACGGAAGCUAAUACCGGAUAUGACGCACGGAGGCAUCUCCUGUGCGUGGAAAGAACUUCGGUCAAGGAUGGACUCGCGGCCUAUCAGGUAGUUGGUGAGGUAACGGCUCACCAAGCCUACGACGGGUAGCCGGCCUGAGAGGGUGACCGGCCACACUGGGACUGAGACACGGCCCAGACUCCUACGGGAGGCAGCAGUGGGGAAUAUUGCACAAUGGGCGCAAGCCUGAUGCAGCAACGCCGCGUGAGGGAUGACGGCCUUCGGGUUGUAAACCUCUUUUAGUAGGGAAGAAGCGAAAGUGACGGUACCUGCAGAAAAAGCACCGGCUAACUACGUGCCAGCAGCCGCGGAAUACGUAGGGUGCGAGCGUUGUCCGGAAUUAUUGGGCGUAAAGAGCUCGUAGGCGGUCUGUCGCGUCUGCUGUGAAAACCCGAGGCUCAACCUCGGGCCUGCAGUGGGUACGGGCAGACUAGAGUGCGGUAGGGAGAAUGGAAUUCCUGGUGUAGCGGUGGAAUGCGCAGAUAUCAGGAGGAACACCGAUGGCGAAGGCAGUCC
rnacentral:rRNA from 1 species